rnacentral:lncRNA from 1 species
AUUGAUCAUUGAUACUUAAGUUCCUUUGUUUGAUUCAAUAAAUUAGUUAUGGGGAUGGAAGACGCUUCUCACCACCAUAUCCCUCCUUAAGCAUAAAUCAAUUAGGGAACGUCCUCUAAUUAAUUACUAAUCAACAAGUUGCCAAGGAACGUCCUUGGGCCUUUGGCAUCUAACAACUGUCAAUUGCAUUAAGAAAUAGAGAGAC